AUUCCAGCGAGAGUGACCACUGCCGUCGUUGUCGGUGCUGUCGUGUUUUGGGGACCUUCCGGUAACUCAAGAUUAAUACGGCAGAGGCAAAGUCAGAUCGCCGGAUUGCACAACUUCGGGAAGACCUGCUUCCUAAAUACGCUGUUCCAGGCCUUGGCGACUUGUCCGUUGUCAGUUGGACAACACCAAGGACGUGAAAACGUUGGUCAAUGGAUCGCAUCCGACGUUGCGCCGAGAUCCGUAUUCUCCGGGAGCAGUUAUCCGGUCGUUGAACGGAGGAGGUAACCAAACCGAAGAUGAUCGGCUGUCUGUCGGACGCCCUGGAAGAAGAAGAACUGAAGGUCAUGAUGCCAGGCCGUCCAGUGCCAAGCUGUCGGAGUUUUGCAAUAUCAAGUACGACGUAUCCACGAACGUGACACGCUGGAGGGGUCACUGAUGCGCCGGAACACCGUCAACGAUCAUUUCCAAGCUCUCCGGACGACCGAGUAAGCCGAAGUCGAUUCUGGCCACAAACAUAAGCCGAAACUGGACAAAUGACCAUCUGGAUCGUGCCGAUCUCUGUGGGUGUGCUCCGGGAGGGUGUGGAUCUGGGCAGACCGAAAACAGAUCCAGGUUCCCCAUCCGUUCCGAGGCGAAGCAGUCAGGUCAGGUAUGCUGAUAAAAAUCCGUGGUCAGAUGCGACAUGUUCGAAAGUGUGACGCUGCCGCUUCCGGAAGUUAACAACCCCAGAAUUGUUAGGUUCUCUACUUGACUGAAAUAAAGGCUGCUAUAUCCAAA